rnacentral:lncRNA from 1 species
GUCCCAAUCUCUGUUUAUUGUAGGGUCUCUCUAACAGUUCCCAAUCUCUGUUUAUUGUAGGGUCUCCCCAGCAGAUCCCAAUGUUUAUUGUAGGGUCUCCCCAGCAGGUCCUGAUGUUUAUUGUAGGAUCUCUAACAGUUUCCAAUGUCUGUUUAUUAUAGGGUUUCCCCAGCAAGUCCCAAUGUCUCUGUCACCGUAGGGUCUUCCAUGACACAUCCCAAUGUUGUCUGUAGGAUCUCCCAUAACAAUCCCAAUGUUCUCUGUAGGGUCUCCUAUGAUGCAUCCCACUGUUCUCUGUAGGGUCUCCUAUGAUGCAUCCCAUUGUUCUCUGUAGGGUCUCCCAUAACACAUCCCGAUGUUUGCUGUAGGGUCUCCCAUAACACAUUCCAGUGUUCUCUGUAGGGUCUCCCAUAACAAUCCCAAUGUUCUCUGUAGGGUCUCCCAUAACAAUCCCAUUGUUCUGUGUAGGGUCUCCCAGCCCCUCUCUCAGCUCCAUUUUGGGGUUCCCGGUGGCUGGGUGGGACGCUGCGGUGCUGUAGGGGCGGCCCAUCGCAGCCCUAACCCCAAUCCCAACCCCAAUAAGAGAAGCAGCACCGCAGCCCCCAGCAGCGCCCAGCACAGCCGGCUCACCCUGCAGCCCCCCCGCGAGCGCUGCUGCCUCGACACCGUCCUGGUGCUGCGCCGGAACGUGGAGCUCUGCGGGGACAGAGGGGACAUCAGGGGGACAUCGUGGGGACAUCGUGGGGACAACCGCCCUCAGCCCAGCAGGGUCCCAAUAUGACCCCAAAGCUGCAUCCCCCAUAGUGUUGUCCCCCCCAAAGGCCAUAUUCCCCCCCCCAGACCAUGUCCCCAUAGUGUCCCCUUAGGGUUGUGGCCCCUGGAGACCCGUGUCCCCAUAAUGUCCCCCCCCAGACCGUGUCCCUGCAGUGUCCCUGCUCAGGGCCAUGUCCCUAUAGUGUCCCCAGGUGCCAUAUCCCCCCCACCAGGGUUGUGUUCCCUAUAGACCCCACGUCCCCAUAGUGUCCCCAGGGUCAAAGCCCCCAGAGACUCCGUGUCCCCAUAGUGUCCCUUUAGGGCUGUGUCCCCCAUAGACUCCAUGUCCCCAUAGUGUCCCUUUAGGGCUGUGUCCCCCAUAGACUCCAUGUCCCCAUAGUGUCCCCACCCAAAGCCAUCAUCCCCCAUAGACUCCACGUCCCCAUAGUGUCCCCCCCCAGGGUCCUGUCCCCAUAGUGUCCCCCAGGGCCACAUCCCCUGUAGACUCUGUGUCCCCAUAGUGUCCCCUUAUGGCUGUGCCCCCUAUAGACUCUGUGUCCCCUUAGGGCUGUGUCCCCACCCAA